rnacentral:rRNA from 1 species
GUCCAAGACAGAAUCUUAGUUCAACCUUAAAUUUACUUACAGAACUAUUUAAUCCUCCCGUAAAUUUAAUUGUUAGUCUAAAGAGGGACAGCUCCUUAGACCCUAGGAAACAACCUUUACAUAGAGAGUAAAACACCCCACCACCAUAGUUGGCCUAAAAGCAGCCAUCAAUUAAGAAAGCGUUUAAGCUCAACACUCACCUUUCCUUAAUCCCACCCAAUAUACUGAACUCCUAAAGCACAUUGGACUGAUCUAUUACUUAAUAGAAGCAAUAAUGUUAAUAUAAGUAACAUGAAACUAUUCUCCCCGCAUAAGCUUAUCUCAGACCGAAACAACUACUGUUAGUUAACAGCCCAAUCAUCAUAUACCACAACCCAACUAACCUAUUAAAUAAACUGUUAACCCAACACAGGCAUGCACCCAGGAAAGAUUAAAAAAAGUAAAAGGAACUCGGCAAACUCUAACCCCGCCUGUUUACCAAAAACAUCACCUCUAGCAUUACUAGUAUUAGAGGCACUGCCUGCCCAGUGACACAUGUUUAACGGCCGCGGUACCCUGACCGUGCAAAGGUAGCAUAAUCACUUGUUCUCUAAAUAGGGACUUGCAUGAAUGGCCACACGAGGGUUUAACUGUCUCUUACUUUUAAUCAGUGAAAUUGACCUAUCCGUGAAGAGGCGGAUAUAACUAAAUAAGACGAGAAGACCCUAUGGAGCUUCAAUUUAAUAAUACAAACAAAUGCUCUAAACACCCACAGGCACUAACCCACUGUCAAUGUAUUAUAAAUUUUGGUUGGGGUGACCUCGGAGCAUAACACAACCUCCGAAAAGCAUAUACCAAGACCUCACUAGUCUAAGUAAUUUACACUCAUUGACCCAAUAACUUGAUCAACGGACCAAGUUACCCUAGGGAUAACAGCGCAAUCCUAUUUUAGAGUUCAUAUCGACAAUAGGGUUUACGACCUCGAUGUUGGAUCAAGACAUCCUAAUGGUGCAGCCGCUAUUAAAGGUUCGUUUGUUCAACGAUUAAAG